rnacentral:tmRNA from 2 species
GGGGGCGUAAAGGUUUCGACGGGGAUUUUGAACCGAUAUAAGCGAGCAGAAGAACGUGUCUUCUUUAAAAAACGUAAAUUAAAUUUAAACGCUAACAAAAACGUUAAAGUUGCUGCCUAACUAGGCAGCCGUCGGGCCUGGAAGGACUACGAGCCAGGUUUUGGCGUCACUUAGUAGUGAACGUGAGCGGGCUUAAGCUUUGCUGCCUGCCAUGAACUUAUGAAGCUACCAAACAAGUCAGCCUGCUCUUUGGCGGUCAUGCAAGGGAAUCUAAACAAAGAGCUACGCUCGUAGAAAGUGCCGGCAAAAGGUUUUCGGACAGGGGUUCGAUUCCCCUCGCCUCCACCA